rnacentral:rRNA from 1 species
UAGAGGAAGUAAAAGUCGUAACAAGGUUUCCGUAGGUGAACCUGCGGAAGGAUCAUUACCGAGUGAGGGCCCUCUGGGUCCAACCUCCCACCCGUGUUUAUUUACCUUGUUGCUUCGGCGGGCCCGCCUUAACUGGCCGCCGGGGGGCUUACGUCCCCGGGCCCGCGCCCGCCGAAGACACCCUCGAACUCUGUCUGAAGAUUGUAGUCUGAGUGAAAAUAUAAAUUAUUUAAAACUUUCAACAACGGAUCUCUUGGUUCCGGCAUCGAUGAAGAACGCAGCGAAAUGCGAUACGUAAUGUGAAUUGCAAAUUCAGUGAAUCAUCGAGUCUUUGAACGCACAUUGCGCCCCCUGGUAUUCCGGGGGGCAUGCCUGUCCGAGCGUCAUUUCUGCCCUCAAGCACGGCUUGUGUGUUGGGCCCCGUCCUCCGAUUCCGGGGGACGGGCCCGAAAGGCAGCGGCGGCACCGAGUCCGGUCCUCGAGCGUAUGGGGCUUUGUCACCCGCUCUGUAGGCCCGGCCGGCGCUUGCCGAUCAACCCAAAUUUUUAUCCAGGUUGACCUCGGAUCAGGUAGGGAUACCCGCUGAACUUAAGCAUAUCA